UGUCCGGAUACGUCAUCCGGCUAUUGAGUGUCCGGACCCAAAAAAUAUUGUAUCCGACCACUGGAUGACCGGAUGAGAUUUCUUUUAAAUUUCAAAUAAAACUCUCGAAACCUCGUGUUCUUUCCAUCUUUCCUCGAAAAAUAAAAUGGUUCUUCCCGUUUGAGUUUCUCAUUCUCUGGUUUCAUUGAUUUCCUUCUGUGAUUCAUCUGGGUAUACUGCUCUUGGAGAAAACUAGUUCAUAGAAGAAAUCUUUUCUAAUUCUUCAUAGAAGACCUCCAAUGUCAUCUGAGAGUAUGAAUGGUUUCGAUCAUCGUGUUGUUUCUUCAAAGGACUCACCACUACUACCACAUAUAUGUCAGAAAUAUAGUACUAGGAAAGAGAUAAGAUUUAGAGGUGGAUGGUCUGACAUGAAACUUAUGUAUGACAUUGUGACCCAACAUGAAGAAUGUAAACGUAUCAUUGAUAAAUGUGGUUGGGAAGGAUUAUUGGAAAUAAAUGUCCCUCUUUGCAACAAGAAGCUUGCAGAUGCAAUUGUUGAGCGAUGGUGGGAGUCCACCAAUACAUUUCAUUUUUCAGAGUUUUAAAUAGGUCUCACACCACAUGAUUUUACUUCAUUGACCGGUAUUUCGGUUGGAAGAGGGACUGAUCCUUUGUUUAUCCUAUGGGAAGACGAUGAAAAGGAAGAUUGUAUAGCAAUGGGACUGAUCCUUUGUUUAUCCUAUGGGAAGACGAUGAAAAGGAAGAUUGUAUAGCAAUGGCAAGAGUAUAUUUAGGUAAUGUUAUCGCAAAUGCUACAAACUCUAAUGAUUGUACAGAAGGUUACUUUAAGGGUGGUGGAAUCCCUUGUUCGCACUUGUACCGAUGGCUUCUACAGUUCAAAAAUGUUGCAGUCGAAGUUAUGGAACCCAUUGGCAAGAGAUCACGCGAGCGUUGAGCGAUGGUGGGAGUCCACCAAUACAUUUCAUUCAGUCUGUGAUCAUGUUGUCUUAUGCUCCAUUCAAGUAGUUGAAUUCAUUUAUGAAGUAUAUAUACAUCCAGAAGUCUAGUUGGAUGCUGUUGGGUUUUAAUCUUGUAAUUCAAUUACAUAUUUUGUGGCAUCUGUUAAUUUAGUUCUUCAGACUGAAAAAUGGUUAGUUACAGGAGAUACAGAAAAAUGACAUUGCUUGUAUUCUAA